UACGGAGGGUGCAAACGUUGCUCGGAAUCAUUGGGCGUAAAGCGCACGUAGGUGGCCUGUUAAGUCGGGUGCGAAAUCCCUGGGCUCAACCCAGGAAGUGCACUCGAAACUGGCGGGCUUGAGUACUGAAGAGGGUCGCGGAAUUCCCGGUGUAGAGGUGAAAUUCGUAGAUAUCGGGAGGAACACCAGUGGCGAAGGCGGCGACCUGGGCAGAUACUGACACUGAGGUGCGAAAGCGUGGGGAGCAAACAGG
rnacentral:rRNA from 1 species